GUGUGCAGAUGGUGUUCAGUACCAGGAACAGAUGUGUUAACCUGUGUGUGUAUGGUGUUCAGUACCAGGGACAGGUGUGUUUACCU
rnacentral:pre_miRNA from 1 species